rnacentral:tRNA from 1 species
GUCCCUGUAGCUCAGUGGAUAGAGCGCUGGCCUCCGGAGCCAGAAACGGGAGUUCGAGUCUCCCCAGGGAUG